UACGGAGGGUGCAAGCGUUAUCCGGAUUUACUGGGUUUUAAAGGGUGCGUAGGCGGGCCAUUAAGUCAGUGGUGAAAGCUCCGAGCUUAACUCGGAAACUGCCAUUGAUACUAUUGGUCUUGAAUUCGGUCGAGGUUGGCGGAAUGUGUCGUGUAGCGGUGAAAUGCUUUAGAUAUGACACAGAACACCGAUUGCGAAGGCAGCUAGCUAGACCGACAUUGACGCUGAGGCACGAAAAGCGUGGGGAUCAAACAGG
rnacentral:rRNA from 1 species